rnacentral:snRNA from 1 species
GCAAACACACUUUAGCAUAUGCUACAACCGGAAUGACACAAAGAUUGACAUGACCCCUGUGCAGGGAUGACACACACUCGUCAAGUGUUCCAUAUCUUU